rnacentral:misc_RNA from 1 species
UGGUUCUGGCAUNGAUGAAGAACGCAGCGAAAUGCGAUAAGUAAUGUGAAUUGCAGAAUUCAGUGAAUCAUCGAGUUUUUGAACGCACAUUGCGCCCUUUGGUAUUCCGAGGGGCACGCCCGUUCGAGCGUCAUUUCACCACUCAAGCCUGGCUUGGUGUUGGGUCUACGGGGGCGACCCGGACCUCAAAGUGUCGGCGGGAAAGCUCCGAUCUCAGCGUUGUGCAAUCCAAUCCGCUGGCGAGACGGGCUGUCCGGGCCGGAAAAUUUCAUCACAGGUUGACCUCGGAUCGGGUGGGGAUACCCGCUGA